CUGACUAACCCAACACCUUAUUGAGACUUGUUGAUCAGCCUGACUAACCCAACACCUUAUUGAGACUUGCUGAUCAGUCUGACUAACCCAACACCUUAUUGAGACUUGUUGAUCCCAACACCUUAUUGAGACUUGUUGAUCCCAACACCUUAUUGAGACUUUCUGAUCAGUCUGACUAACCCAACACCUUAUUGAGACUUGUUGAUCAGCCUGACUAACCCAACACCUUAUUGAGACUUGCUGAUCAGUCUGACUAACCCAACACCUUAUUGAGACUUGUUGAUCCCAACACCUUAUUGAGACUUGUUGAUCCCAACACCUUAUUGAGACUUGCUGAUCAGCCUGACUAACCCAAUAGCGUAUGGCUCCAGAGGUUCAAUAAUAUAAUAACACCUACUAACCAACAGAUAAAGUGCCAACAAGGAAAAAGUUGUCUCUGCUCAACGCAGAAGGCUACAGUCAAAUUAUCCUAUAUUUGGCCCAAAUGGCACCCUAUUCCCUAUAAAGUGCACUACUUUUGAACAGAGCACUAUGGGACCUGGUCAAAAGUAGUGCACUAUGUAGGGAAUAGGGUGCCAUUUGGGAUUUAACCAGAAGGAUAUAACAAUGUGUAUUACAUUCAUUUAAAUAAAGCAAGCCAGCCAGGUCUCUCCCUAGGCUAGUUACAGGUUACAGACAACAUGUCUCUCCCCAGGCUAGUUACAGGUUACAGACAACAUGUCUCUCCCCAGGCUAGUUACAGGUUACAGACAACAUGUCUCUCCCCAGGCUAGUUACAGGUUACAGACAACAUGUCUCUCCCUAGGCUAGUUACAGGUUACAGACAACAUGUCUCUCCCCAGGCUAGUUACAGGUUACAGACAACAUGUCUCUCCCUAGGCUAGUUACAGGUUACAGACAACAUGUCUCUCCCUAGGCUAGUUACAGGUUACAGACAACAUGUCUCUCCCUAGGCUAGUUACAGGUUACAGACAACAUGUCUCUCCCUAGGCUAGUUACAGGUUACAGACAACAUGUCCCUCCCCAGGCUAGUUACAGGUUACAGACAACAUGUCUCUCCCUAGGCUAGAUACAGGUUACAGACAACAUGUCUCUCCCUAGGCUAGUUACAGGUUACAGACAACAUGUCUCUCCCCAGGCUAGUUACAGGUUACAGACAACAUGUCUCUCCCCAGGCUAGUUACAGGUUACAGACAACAUGUCUCUCCCUAGGCUAGAUACAGGUUACAGACAACAUGUCUCUCCCCAGGCUAGUUACAGUUUACAGACAACAUGUCUCUCCCUAGGCUAGUUACAGGUUACAGACAACAUGUCUCUCACUAGGCUAGUUACAGGUUACAGACAACAUGUCUCUCACUAGGCUAGUUACAGGUUACAGACAACAUGUCUCUCCCUAGGCUAGUUACAGGUUACAGACAACAUGUCUCUCCCCAGGCUAGUUAUAGGUUACAGACAACAUGUCUCUCCCCAGGCUAGUUACAGGUUACAGACAACAUGUCUCUCCCCAGGCUAGUUACAGGUUACAGACAACAUGUCUCUCCCCAGGCUAGUUACAGGUUACAGACAACAUGUCUCUCCCAGGCUAGUUACAGGUUACAGACAACAUGUCUCUCCCCAGGCUAGUUACAGGUUACAGACAACAUGUCUCUCCCUAGGCUAGUUACAGGUUACAGACAACAUGUCUCUCCCUAGGCUAGUUACAGGUUACAGACAACAUGUCUCUCCCCAGGCUAGUUACAGGUUACAGACAACAUGUCUCUCCCCAGGCUAGUUACAGGUUACAGACAACAUGUCUCUCCCCAAGCUAGUUAUAGGUUACAGACAACAUGUCUCUCCCUAGGCUAGUUACAGGUUACAGACAACAUGUCUCUCCCUAGGCUAGUUACAGGUUACAGACAACAUGUCUCUCCCCAGGCUAGUUAUAGGUUACAGACAACAUGUCUCUCCCCAGGCUAGUUAUAGGUUACAGACAUGUCUCUCACUAGGCUAGUUACAGGUUACAGACAACAGACUGCCACACAGGGCUUGGGUCAAGAGAAGUGUGGUGUAGGAUGCCGUUUGAGGUGUGGCACUAUGGAAAGCAGCAUCUGGGAGGUCAAGGGUCAAAGGCCACCCAGGCAGAGGUCAAGGGUGGGUGACCUCACUCUCUUUACCACUACUCAACGUAGAGGGGGGCGGGAUCUGACUGAUGGGACAGGUUUCUCCAGCUGACGUCUGUGAUUGGACAGAUAUCCAUUCACUCACUCCCUGUGGGGAUAACAUUGCACUGUCUGUCAAAUAAAUAUUCAACCAUAGUCCACCCGGUUCUAUUGGAGAUAAAAGAUCAGAACAUUCCGGUUACAUUGGAUAGAACAAAUUAGAAUAUUCUGAUUCUUUCCUCUGAUGGCAAUAAAGGCAAUCUGGGGCAGAGAAAAAACAAAAAGGACUCUUUUAUAGUCUCUUAACAGAGUACACUUUCAAAAGCACAAAAUGCCCAUUUAGAAUAAAAUAUUCAAAAAAAAUCCUAGGUGGUAUUCUGAGUCUGUUUGAGAGAGGAGAGCAGAUCAGAUGGCCUUCUGACUGAACUUCUGACUUCCCAGCAAACCGGAGCGGACAAAUUCUGCAAGAAUCCAGACACCCGUUUAAAGGAUAGUUGAACAAACAGAGUUUGGGAGAAACAGUAAGAGUUGUUGGAAGGGAUUUGUCCUGGAGAAGUCUUUAGUUAAGGGAGGGAGGGAUGGUGGUAGGAGUAACAGCAGUAAGAGUUGUUGGAAG
rnacentral:lncRNA from 1 species